rnacentral:rRNA from 1 species
UGUUUCGGCAAGGGGGUCAUCCCGACUUACCAACCCGAUGCAAACUGCGAAUACCGGAGAAUGUUAUCACGGGAGACACACGGCGGGUGCUAACGUCCGUCGUGAAGAGGGAAACAACCCAGACCGCCAGCUAAGGUCCCAAAGUCAUGGUUAAGUGGGAAACGAUGUGGGAAGGCCCAGACAGCCAGGAUGUUGGCUUAGAAGCAGCCAUCAUUUAAAGAAAGCGUAAUAGCUCACUGGUCGAGUCGGCCUGCGCGGAAGAUGUAACGGGGCUAAACCAUGCACCGAAGCUGCGGCAGCGACGCUUAUGCGUUGUUGGGUAGGGGAGCGUUCUGUAAGCCUGUGAAGGUGUGCUGUGAGGCAUGCUGGAGGUAUCAGAAGUGCGAAUGCUGACAUAAGUAACGAUAAAGCGGGUGAAAAGCCCGCUCGCCGGAAGACCAAGGGUUCCUGUCCAACGUUAAUCGGGGCAGGGUGAGUCGACCCCUAAGGCGAGGCCGAAAGGCGUAGUCGAUGGGAAACAGGUUAAUAUUCCUGUACUUGGUGUUACUGCGAAGGGGGGACGGAGAAGGCUAUGUUGGCCGGGCGACGGUUGUCCCGGUUUAAGCGUGUAGGCUGGUUUUCCAGGCAAAUCCGGAAAA